GGCGCGGCUGUGGAGUGUUAGCUGCGGAUUUCAUAUGAGGAGAAGAGAGAAUCAGCCCUUAAUUGAAUUGGUGUUGGGCCUUCUUUUUGUUGGCAAUAGAGAAAGCUUGGUGAUAGCGACCUUCAAGAUUGGCGUAGUCUUAUCAACCAAGUUCAUGGUGGAUUUUGCCCCAAACGAGAUGUUUUGAGUAUUUGCAAAGUUCGGAGUAUUAUGUACAAGAUUGGCGAAUUAAUCAACUUCAUGGAAGAUUUUGCCCCAAACGAGAUGCUUUGAGUAUUUGCAAAGUUCGGAGUCUAUUGUCAUUAUUUCUUUCAGUCUUGACAUCUCCAUCAGCCCGACUAAAGACUAUCCUCAGAGAGUUCAUCCAAAAAAAAAAAUUGGCAGCAGCCCAUCUAAGAUCUUAUUUGAGUGAUGUUUACUUUGCACUUCAGGUGGCUCAAUUGGCUUUUAAUCAGAUUUCGGGUGCGCUCGGAUCUGGGCCAUUAUGAGUCCAACCUUUGAAGAUUGCUGGUUACAUUUUCUCUUUGCGCGCAUUCGAGCAGGCUAGAUGACUCAAUGGUGUUCUAUUAUGUUUGGCGAACAUGUGUUUCAACUUCACGAGCGGAUUCAACUUUAGCUUGGAGAGAAGUGAAGUUGUCGAUGCAUAGCCGACCUCAAUGCCAGAUGACCCAAUUCUUUGACAGGUCUUGGGUGCGCUCAGACCUGGGAUUGUUCGAGUCUGGUUUGAGUGAGGUUGUUCUGUUAUGUUUGGCAUCUCACGAAGUUGGGAGAAUUUUGCACAGCGGCCAAGAAGAUUGGGUUUUCUCUUCUUGAUGCUUGAGCCAAGGAGAAUGAAGCCAUGGUCUGAAUUGCUUUGAUCAAGGAAGAGCUUGCUAUGAUAGAGAUGUGGGAGACGGAGAUGUCGUCGUCCUUCAAGCAAGAUAGUGCCUCCUUUCAUACCGUCUGAGGUGCAAUCCCAUAAUUCAAAAGAGAGUUUGACAAGCAUAAAGUUGCACAUGUUGAUGAGGAAAUGCUGCGGAAUUUUGAAGACUUCAGAGUCACUUUUGAUAUCUGCUCAGAGAACUUUGGAGGAUCAAGACUCAUUUGCUUAGUAUUGGUGCAAACCGCAGUUUCUAUCAUUUCUCUCUUGAUGAUUCUUAUUUGGUUUGUGAUGGAUAUUUUGACAUCUUC